CCCUUAGAGUUUGAUCCUGGCUCAGAACGAACGCUGGCGGCGUGGAUAAGACAUGCAAGUCGAGCGCUAAUUACAGGGUAGCAAUAUUCUGUAGUUGGAGCGGCGCAAGGGUGCGUAACACGUGGGUAAUUUGCCGUGAAGUUGGGGAUAACUUGCUGAAAGGCGAGCUAAUACCGAAUGUGACGUUUGGAGGGCAUCUUCCGAAUUUCAAAGUUGGGGACCGUAAGGCCUGACGCUUCACGAUAAGCCCGCGGCCUAUCAGCUAGUUGGUGAGGUAACGGCUCACCAAGGCUAAGACGGGUAGCUGGUCUGAGAGGACGACCAGCCACACUGGAACUGAGACACGGUCCAGACACCUACGGGUGGCAGCAGUCGAGAAUUUUUCUCAAUGGGCGAAAGCCUGAAGGAGCGACGCCGCGUGGGGGAUGAAUGGCUUCGGCCCGUAAACCCCUGUCAUUUGCGAACAAACCUUACGAUUUAAUAGGUCGUGAGCUGAUUGUAAUGAAAGAGGAAGGGACGGCUAACUCUGUGCCAGCAGCCGCGGUAAUACAGAGGUCCCGAGCGUUGUUCGGAUUCACUGGGCGUAAAGGGUGCGCAGGUGGCCAUGAAAGUCUGAUGUGAAAUCUCCGGGCUCAACCCGGAAAAUGCAUUGGAUACUAU
rnacentral:rRNA from 1 species